GUGGGGAAUCUUCCGCAAUGGACGAAAGUCUGACGGAGCAACGCCGCGUGAGUGAAGAAGGUUUUCGGAUCGUAAAGCUCUUUCGUUAGGGACGAACGUGCUUUUUGUGAAUAAUGAGGAGUAAUGACGGUACCUAAAUAAGAAGCCACGGCUAACUACGUGCCAGCAGCCGCGGUAAUACGUAGGUGGCAAGCGUUGUCCGGAAUUAUUGGGCGUAAAGCGCGCGCAGGCGGGAUAUCAAGUCUGUCUUAAAAGUGCGAGGCUCAACCUCGUGAGGGGACAGAAACUGGUAUUCUUGAGUGUCGGAGAGGAAAGUGGAAUUCCAAGUGUAGCGGUGAAAUGCGUAGAGAUUUGGAAGAACACCAGUGGCGAAGGCGACUUUCUGGACGAUGUCUGACGCUGAGGCGCGAAAGCUAGGGGAGCGAACGGGAUUAGAAACCCCAGUAGUCC
rnacentral:rRNA from 1 species